rnacentral:rRNA from 1 species
AGUCACUGACAUUAGAUACCCCUGUAGUCCAGGGUGUAAACGCUGCAGACUUGGUGUUGGAAGUCCUUUGGGGGCAUUCAGUGCCGGAGAGAAGUUGUUAAGUCUGCUACUUGGGAGUACGUCCGCAAGGAUGAAACUUAAAGGAAUUGGCGGGGGAGCACCGCAACGGGAGGAGCGUUGCGGUUUAAUUGGAUUCAACACCGUAAAACUCACCAGGGAAGACUGUUACAUGAAGGCCGAGAUGAAGACUCUGCUAGAUUUUCAG